rnacentral:tRNA from 1 species
GAAAUGUAAAGAAAAUAAUAGAAGCUGCUAACUUACUAUAAUAGUGGUUUAAAUCCAUUAACAUUUCU